rnacentral:rRNA from 1 species
UACGUAGGCGGAUCGUUAAGUCAGAGGUGAAAUCCCGGAGCUCAACUUCGGAAUUGCCUUUGAUACUGGCGGUCUUGAGUUCGGGAGAGGUGAGUGGAACUGCUAGUGUAGAGGUGAAAUUCGUAGAUAUUAGCAAGAACACCAGUGGCGAAGGCGGCUCACUGGCCCGAUACUGACGCUGAGGUACGAAAGCGUGGGGAGCAAACA